GACGAACGCUGGCGGCGUGCCUAAUACAUGCAAGUCGAGCGAGCAAAGUUAAAGGAAUACUUCGGUAGGAAUUUAAUAGCGCGAGCGGCGGAUGGGUGAGUAACACGUGGGCAAUCUACCCUUUAGCUUGGGAUACCACUUGGAAACAGGUGCUAAUACCAAAUAAGAAGUAAGAGCGCAUGCUCAAGCUAUGAAAGGCGGCUUUCGAGCUGUCACUAAAGGAUGAGCCCGCGGUGCAUUAGCUAGUUGGUAAGGUAACGGCUUACCAAGGCAAUGAUGCAUAGCCGAGUUGAGAGACUGAUCGGCCACAUUGGGACUGAGACACGGCCCAAACUCCUACGGGAGGCAGCAGUAGGGAAUCUUCCACAAUGGACGCAAGUCUGAUGGAGCAACGCCGCGUGAGUGAAGAAGGUUUUCGGAUCGUAAAGCUCUGUUGUUGGUGAAGAAGGACAUGGAUAGUAACUGAUCUAUGUUUGACGGUAAUCAACCAGAAAGUCACGGCUAACUACGUGC
rnacentral:rRNA from 1 species